UCCUUCUUCGCCGACUCCGUCCACACCUUUGGGGACCCCUGGACCUGCUGGGGCAGGACCCCAGCAGCAGACAAAGAAUUCCUCUCUAUUCAGGACUCUAGGAAAAGACCCUCAGAACUGAGGCCUGAGCUCCCUGCACCCUGGCUACAACUGGUAAAACCCACAAGUACAUAUUGAGCUAAUGGAUUCCUCUGCAGAGAGGAUUACCCAAAAGAUGGUUAGUGUGUGGCUGACAGAAAGUGGAACCAGGACGUACACAAGGGAACCAGUAACCUUGUCUACUCCUGAGAGAAACCUGGACUCUUUGGGUUGGGCUUUGCAUAGAAUAAAAAAA